UAAUAUUUUUAUAAACUUUCAUUUUUAGUUUGUAUAAUUUAAUAAAUUUAAAAUUACAAAACUAUAUAAGCCGACUUAGGCGAAUCGUAUAUGAAAUUAGGGAGAGCGCAAAAGGCUUAGACCUUCUUCUUAUCUGUGAAUUGGUAAAUACGCCCCUUUUCCGAUUUCCUCAUGAGAAGCAACAGCGGAAAGCCAAACAAGAACCCCAGCCCCAUGCCAUAGAUUUCCGACUAAUUCGUUUACCCUGCUUAUGGCGAAUUGAUAAAAGUGUCCCACAGCAAAAUUAUAUAAGGCCAAGAAAUUCGAUUUAACAGCACAGGAGGGACAAGCAAAAAAGCCGAACCCCUGUCAAACACUAUUCAGAGGCGAUGCGAGGUUCACUUGCGAGCAAAAUAUUCAGCGCAUUAUGACAAAUCCGGCUAAAAUAUGCAAGGGCCGGGCCAAUAGCCUCAGGUAGAAAUGGCGGACAAUAAAAGACACCAAAGGACCAGGCCAGGCUGUGCGAGGCCCCCUCGAAAAAAAUUAUGCAUAAAAUGGCUUUGGAAAGAGAAGAAGCAGCCAAAAAAAAAAAUAAUAAUAAAAAAAAACAGACUGAACCAAAAAGCAAACAAAGAUAAAUUCCGGCUGUCUGUAUUGGGGUCCGAGACUCUGCUGUCAAUGUGCCGCCGGGCCAUUAAAUGACGGAAGUAAAUAAGCUUGACAAAUUUCCACUCAUCAUUUUUGCAUUAAUUCGGGCUUCUUUAACGCAACAACAACAACAGCAACAAGAGCGGAAAAAAGGAAAGAAAAUGUCCUUUGAUUAAUCAAAAAAUUGUUGGUGGCACUGGCGGGUGGACAAACACAACAAAUUACCCAAAGAGGCGCCGUUGGCAUGCCGUGUGGCAUUUGUGGCAGAGGCGCCAACACACACACACACACACACACACACACACACUUACGCACACACGCCUUCGCUUGCGGCUUGCGGCAGCUUUAGAGACGUAAAAUCCAAAGCUUUGAGAAACAUUCAAAAAUGAGCGGCACACUCAAAAAAAAAAAAAUAUAUAUAUAUAUAUAUAUAUAGAAUCCACCCGCACACACACACACACACAGAGCAAGACGCGCCAGAUUUUUGCGCGCGAUUUGUCAAGCUGACAUUUGCGUGACGUUGACGACGACUGCGACGCCGACUGCGUGUGCUUUUUUCAAAUUUUGCUGGUGCCACAAACAAACUUCAACUUCAAACAGACGACACGAGCAGCAGGCCGAGUUGAUUUAGUAAGUCACGUGGCCGCCUAACUGUAAAUUGCCAUCGCUAGCUCCUGCUGCUCCUCCUGCUGCUGGGACAGCAGCGUCCACAAACCCUGACACGAGUCCCAGCUCUUGGUGCGGUGUGAAAUAAACUGUCGCUUCGUGUAUCUUUGUUAGACUGUGUUGUUGUUACCUUUCCCAUGCGCUGUUUGCCAAGAAAAACGAGUAUAUUCGGACUUGCAUAUAAUCGAGCAAUAAUUAUUUCUGAUUUAAUAACUAAUCAGUUAACUAUAUAUCAUGUAAUGAGCUUCACACUUAUAUCAAGCUGGCGGCCAACAACUGAAAGCAACAAAGACAUUUGGCCCUAUAAAAGAUAAGCCCAACCGAGUGACACCGAGCCAUGCCCAACCAACCCAACCGCCUAGCCAGAAGCCAUGUGAUUCUGUAAUUUAAGUAAAGAAAAUGUUUCAAAUUAAAUGAAAACAUGGACAGGUACUUGGCCCCGACAUCGACAUGUAGAUCUUACCAAAUGAAACAUAAGCAAAGCGCCAAGCUUUACCAGCACCAAAGAUUAGGCAGCCCACAAUCUGCAGGGCGAAAAAACCCAUCCUGGAAUUAGGCACAACUGGAAGCCAGCUCAAAUGGCCGGCAGAGCAGAGAAUUUAAGUUAUAAUUUUUAGCUAACGUGCAUAUAUGUAUGUAUGCAUUCAGAUGUGUGACAGGACGUAAUAACUAAGCUGUUUCAGAGAGAUGCUAAAGAUGAGCGCAUGACACCGGCUUCAAUGAAUAUGUAAUAGGAAUAUGUGAAAAGCAUUCGAAAGUUCUUAACCGAAAUCUCAUAAUCAAAUAUACUCUACCCAUUGUUGAAUAUAAAAAGUCAUUCUCGAUAUAUAAUAAUGA